UACGUAGGGGGCUAGCGUUGUCCGGAUUUAUUGGGCGUAAAGAGCGUGUAGGCGGCCAGAUAGGUCUGCUGUGAAAACUCGAGGCUCAACCUCGAGAUGUCGGCGGAAACCAUUUGGCUAGAGUCCGGAAGAGGAAAGUGGAAUUCCUGGUGUAGCGGUGAAAUGCGUAGAUAUCGAGAGGAACACCUGCGGCGAAGGCGGGUUGCUGGGCUGACACUGACGCUGAUGCGCGAAAGCCAGGGGAGCGAACGGG
rnacentral:rRNA from 1 species